AGAGUUUGAUCCUGGCUCAGGAUGAACGCUAGCUACAGGCUUAACACAUGCAAGUCGAGGGGCAGCAUGGUCUUAGCUUGCUAAGGCCGAUGGCGACCGGCGCACGGGUGAGUAACACGUAUCCAACCUGCCGUCUACUCUUGGACAGCCUUCUGAAAGGAAGAUUAAUACAAGAUGGCAUCAUGAGUCCACAUGUUCACAUGAUUAAAGGUAUUCCGGUAGACGAUGGGGAUGCGUUCCAUUAGAUAGUAGGCGGGGUAACGGCCCACCUAGUCUUCGAUGGAUAGGGGUUCUGAGAGGAAGGUCCCCCACAUUGGAACUGAGACACGGUCCAAACUCCUACGGGAGGCAGCAGUGAGGAAUAUUGGUCAAUGGGCGAGAGCCUGAACCAGCCAAGUAGCGUGAAGGAUGACUGCCCUAUGGGUUGUAAACUUCUUUUAUAAAGGAAUAAAGUCGGGUAUGGAUACCCGUUUGCAUGUACUUUAUGAAUAAGGAUCGGCUAACUCCGUGCCAGCAGCCGCGGUAAUACGGAGGAUCCGAGCGUUAUCCGGAUUUAUUGGGUUUAAAGGGAGCGUAGAUGGAUGUUUAAGUCAGUUGUGAAAGUUUGCGGCUCAACCGUAAAAUUGCAGUUGAUACUGGAUAUCUUGAGUGCAGUUGAGGCAGGCGGAAUUCGUGGUGUAGCGGUGAAAUGCUUAGAUAUCACGAAGAACUCCGAUUGCGAAGGCAGCCUGCUAAGCUGCAACUGACAUUGAGGCUCGAAAGUGUGGGUAUCAAACAGGAUUAGAUACCCUGGUAGUCCACACGGUAAACGAUGAAUACUCGCUGUUUGCGAUAUACAGCAAGCGGCCAAGCGAAAGCGUUAAGUAUUCCACCUGGGGAGUACGCCGGCAACGGUGAAACUCAAAGGAAUUGACGGGGGCCCGCACAAGCGGAGGAACAUGUGGUUUAAUUCGAUGAUACGCGAGGAACCUUACCCGGGCUUAAAUUGCAGAUGAAUUACGGUGAAAGCCGUAAGCCGCAAGGCAUCUGUGAAGGUGCUGCAUGGUAGUCGUCAGCUCGUGCCGUGAGGUGUCGGCUUAAGUGCCAUAACGAGCGCAACCCUUGUUGUCAGUUACUAACAGGUUCCGCUGAGGACUCUGACAAGACUGCCAUCGUAAGAUGUGAGGAAGGUGGGGAUGACGUCAAAUCAGCACGGCCCUUACGUCCGGGGCUACACACGUGUUACAAUGGGGGGUACAGAGGGCCGCUACCACGCGAGUGGAUGCCAAUCCCCAAAACCUCUCUCAGUUCGGACUGGAGUCUGCGACCCGACUCCACGAAGCUGGAUUCGCUAGUAAUCGCGCAUCAGCCACGGCGCGGUAAAUACGUUCCCGGGCCUUGCACUCACCGCCCGUCA
rnacentral:rRNA from 1 species